rnacentral:ribozyme from 14 species
AGUUAAUAAAUGAUGUGGUAAAAUUGGUUCAUUGUCUGGAUACGGUCCAUGCUUUUCUUUUUCGUCGUUGCCUUUUUCUUCCCUCUCAUCAUUCUUUUCUUUCUCUGUAUUUGUAUUACUCUUUU